UACAGAGGUCUCAAGCGUUGUUCGGAUUCAUUGGGCGUAAAGGGUGCGUAGGUGGUGGGGUAAGUCGGAUGUGAAAUCCCGGGGCUCAACCCCGGAACUGCAUUCGAAACUGCCUUGCUCGAGUACUGGAGAGGAGACUGGAAUUCCAGGUGUAGCGGUGAAAUGCGUAGAUAUCUGGAGGAACACCGGUGGCGAAGGCGGCAUCCUGGACCGGCAUUGACGCUGAGGAGCGAAAGCCAGGGGAGCAAACGGG
rnacentral:rRNA from 1 species